GUAGCCUGAGAGCUGAGUCAGGAAAGGGAGGAGAGGAGUUUACAUAGGCACAAAGGCCAUGGCUGGAGAGACAGUGGAAGAGAACACAGUGACUCAUAAACUGUGACCUCUCCAAGCCCCACUUAACUGGACUUUGGAUGAUGACAAAUGAUGACUUUGUCAUUGUGACAACUGCUCUGUUCUUUCACAAAGGCUGCAUUCCAUUAAUGUACCAAACAUUUGUCAAGAAGCUGGUAAUGGUACGCCUGCCCUGCAGUCCACAUUCUGCUCAUGGAGAGAGAUGUAGGCAAACUCCAUCAGAAAUGACAUGUGAGGACUUAGGUGUCUCCACCAUGGGACAGAAACAAAUACAGUCAUCUCAAUUCCAUUCUUCUCUCUUCAGCCUUCACACUAUUUCUCUUAAGUUGGCAGUUAAUCGCAGAGGGAGCAUAGGUUAAGACUAUCAGGGGUAUACAUGAUUAGGCUCCAAACACAUUUGCUAUAAGAAGUGUUAUUCUUUGGACUUUGGAACCUGCCCUAAACUCCAGCAGAACACUCUAUAAAAGCAGCUUCUGGUCUGGAGAGCAUCAGGUGCUUAACUCUGCUACUUGGUUGGGAACUGAAGCCAUGGCUUUCAAUGCAUAGGCUGCAUGGAAGGAAGCACCACCCAGAGCCCCACAAGGUGCCAGACUUGAACCUAGAACUGGCCUGGGACUGGGUAAUGGAUAAUUUUGAGGCCCUGAGCCAUCACUCCUGCCAGCACCCCUGGUGCUGUGGACCUGGGAAACCCAGCACAGCCUCACUGAUGGAUGAAGCUGCAUUUGGGGGUGAGAGGGGACAGAAACGCUGCAGAGAGCCACAUGCUGAGGAGCCAAUGGAUGAAACUGCAGAGCGACUUUGGGGUCAUCAAGAUGUAGGAGCCACUUCCAGGAGAAAGGUUCAAUGGACUUUGGACCAGCUGAAAGGUGACUACACCCACAGCAGUGGAGAGAUGCUUGCCCCACAUGAAUCCUGGAGCCAAGGGGGCUCCCAGAAACGACUCAAAACUGAGACUGGCAUGAGAGAGGAAUCAGGAAAGGAAAGACACCCAAGCAUUGUGGACAGCAUACGCCUUGAGAUCCUUCAAUAUAUUUGGGAGGCUCCAGAAAAACAUGGACCAAGAGCUUCAUGCUGCCUCUGAGGGCUUAAAGACUGUGCCCUAUAUGCCCUGGAGCUUUGAAGUCUCUUUAUUUUGUCCUCUUGACUGUUCAGUUGAUGUGUUAUGGAUAUUUUCUUAAAUCCAUGUAGAAUCAUUACAUUCUGAUGGAAACUGUACAUAAUUAAAAUCUUUCCUCCCCA